rnacentral:rRNA from 1 species
GCCAGCCCGCUCAGAAACUAAAUAGAAUUGACGGGGGCCCGCACAAGCGGAGGAACAUGUGGUUUAAUUCGAUGAUACGCGAGGAACCUUACCCGGGCUUGAAAUGCAUCUGACCGGCCUUGAAAGAGGUUUUCCCUUCGGGGCAGAUGUGUAGGUGCUGCAUGGUUGUCGUCAGCUCGUGCCGUGAGGUGUCGGCUUAAGUGCCAUAACGAGCGCAACCCUCAUCAUUAGUUACCAUCAGGUAAGGCUGGGGACUCUAAUGAGACUGCCAUCGUAAGAUGUGAGGAAGGUGGGGAUGACGUCAAAUCAGCACGGCCCUUACGUCCGGGGCUACACACGUGCUACAAUGGCCGGUACAAAGGGUUGCGAAGCCGUGAGGUGGAGCGAAUCUCAAAAAGCCGGCCUCAGUUCGGAUUGGAGGCUGCAACUCGCCUCCAUGAAGUCGGAAUCGCUAGUAACCGCAGAUCAGCUACGUUGCGGUGAAUACGUUCCCGGGCCUU